UUUCUGAUAGCUCAGUUGGUAAAGAAUCUGCCUGCAAUGCAGAAGACCCCAGUUCGAUCCCUGGGUUGGGAA
rnacentral:tRNA from 1 species